rnacentral:piRNA from 1 species
UAUAUACCUGGUCUUACAGGAGUCCCACAG